CACGCCGUAAACGAUGUUCACUCGCUGUUUGCGAUAUACAGUAAGCGGCUAAGCGAAAGCAUUAAGUGAACCACCUGGGGAGUACGAUCGCAAGGUUGAAACUCAAAGGAAUUGACGGGGGCCCGCACAAGCGGAGGAACAUGUGGUUUAAUUCGAUGAUACGCGAGGAACCUUACCUGGGCUUAAAUGUAGGAUGCAUGAGGCGGAAACGUUUCUUUCCUUCGGGACACCCUACAAGGUGC
rnacentral:rRNA from 1 species